rnacentral:lncRNA from 1 species
CUAUCAUGUCAUUUUCUAUUUUUAUGAUUUUCUGAUGUAUUUAAAUGAGUGUUUAUGGUUGCAAAGUCCAUUUAAAAUUUGAAUUGAGAUGAUGAUGAUUAUGGAGUGGCUUGACAUUUGUUUUGUGUAAAAAACCCAUAUAAUGUAAAAAAUUUGAUCACAAUCCAAAUUCAGAGCUGUAUCACGCUUAAAUGUUUUGUCCAUACCUGCCCC